GGACUCAGACUGUGAAAGGGGAAUAAACAACAGUUCCUGGAUUUGUCUAGUGUUGCAGCUGUGGGAGGCUCAUUGGCCUACCAGCAUCUGUUGAAGAUAUUUUCAGAAACCAGGCUAAUAUACAAAAGACUCUGACUGCAACAUUAAUGAUUAUCUCUGUGCUUCUGAUGGGUUUGGAUUUUUCUCUGCAUAGCCAGUGCUCAAUGCCUGACUAGGUUUCAGAGUGGUAGCCGUGUAACAGCAAAAAGAACGAGGAGUACUUGUGCCUGACUACUAGCUGCAACCUGAGGACCCAUGGCUGAAACCUAAAUAAAAACCUUUGGUGUCCAAAGCAGUUUUGGGAAGAGGAAAUAUUAACCCAGAUCCAGCUUUGGGCACUAUGGCUUACUGCUGAGACAUGAAAAUCAUUACAGGUCGCUGAAGGACAAUAGAGCUAUUUACACCAGUGUCUGCCUGCAAGCAAAGGUCACACACAUGACAAGAAGCUGGCAUACCAGAAUUUCGAAAGGGAAAGCAGAAUCAGGGACUCUGAGUCUAUGCCUGGGAGGCGCAGCAAAGAAGGUGACGCCCAGACGGAGGGAAGGAGAGAAAAGGUGGCUUUAAGCUACCUUUGUGUCAUCCGGAUUUUAGGUUGCUAUGGGAGCCGAAAUGACUGCUUCUGAAAGUUGGACAACCCUGGAACCUAGAAUCCCAUACAAGCUCACUUUUGUCCUCCAUGCUACCGACUUC